rnacentral:lncRNA from 1 species
CUUCAGGAGUGAAGCUGCAGACCUUCGCGUGAUGGAGGUUGAGAAGUCCAACUUCAAGGCACCACAUCUGGUGAGAGCCUUCAUUCCGAUGACAGCCUUCAUGCUGGUAAGAUUUUCUUCAGAGUUCCAAGGUGGUGCACGGCAUCACAUGGCGAAGGAAAUGAGCGUGCUAGCUCAGGUGUCUCUUCCUCUUCUUAUAAAGCCACCAGUCCCACUCCUGUGCUAGUAACUCUUUAAUCCAUCAACCCAUUAAUCCAUGAAUAGAUUAACCCAUGAGGCCUCUGCCCUCAGGACCCAAUCACCUCUUAAAGGCCUGACCUGUCAAUAUUGCCAUACUGGGGACUCAGUUUCAACAUGAGUUUUGAAAGGGACAAACAUUCAAUCCAUAGUAACAUGAGAGCUUUUCAAAGCCCUUCUUUGUUGAAGUAUGUCCUUCUCCAGCCUCUUUUUUCCCAGGCUUUUUGUUUUUUCUAUUGCUUGUGCAGCUGUUAUCCUUUGCUACAGGUGGCAAUAGCUAAUACAUUUGCCUUUAAAUUUGUUUGACAAACACCACCCUGGAAGUAGCCUCAACUCUGGGGAAGCUCCAAGACAGGUAAAAUACAGGUAAGCCCUUGAGCAGAUCCUUCAGGAAGCUACCAUAUGGGUCAAAACACAGAACCACAAUUCUUUAAUUCUUUGAGAAUAAGGUCUGUAUUGUUCCCUCUGUUACCAGCAACCUGCAGCAGGAAAAUGGGCUUCAGUUUUCAAGUCUGCAGCUGAGUUGGGAAGUUGCGGACAGUAACCAGGAUCGCUGUCCUUAUAAGAAGUGGAAGAAACAUCAGAGAGCUCUCCCUCUCCACACACACAGAGGAAAGGCCACAUGGGGACAAGAGAGGGCAACUGUCUACAAAUCUGGAAGAGAGACUUCAGAAGAAACCAGCACUGAUGGCAUCUGAUCUUGGACUUCCAGCCUCUGGAUCUGAGCCAUAAAACCUGGGCCGAGUUUCUUCUGAAAAUAAGUUAUAAGAUCCUUAUUCCAGAGGGGUCCUGCCCUGUGCCUGGAGGAAAAGAAUGAAGACACAGAGAUGCCUUGAAGAAUCUGAACAAACAGCCCUUGCUAAGUUCCCCCCAGUUUAUUGACAUUAGAUUAGACCUUUUGUCCUCCAAUUAUACUUCUGUGUUCCUGAAAAUACACAUUUUCCCGUUUUUUCUUUUGUUUGCUUUUUUUGAUCUUCAUUUCUGAAGA